GAUCAUUACUGAUUUGCUUAAUUGCACCACAUGUGUUUUUCUUUGAAACAAACUUGCUUUGGCGGUGGGCCCAGCCUGCCGCCAGAGGUCUAAACUUACAACCAAUUUUUUAUCAACUUGUCACACCAGAUUAUUACUAAUAGUCAAAACUUUCAACAACGGAUCUCUUGGUUCUCGCAUCGAUGAAGAACGCAGCGAAAUGCGAUACGUAAUAUGAAUUGCAGAUAUUCGUGAAUCAUCGAAUCUUUGAACGCACAUUGCGCCCUCUGGUAUUCCGGAGGGCAUGCCUGUUUGAGCGUCGUUUCUCCCUCAAACCGCUGGGUUUGGUGUUGAGCAAUACGACUUGGGUUUGCUUGAAAGACGGUAGUGGUAAGGCGGGAUCGCUUUGACAAUGGCUUAGGUCUAACCAAAAACAUUGCUUGCGGCGGUAACGUCUACCACGUAUAUCUUCAAACUUUGACCUCAAAUC
rnacentral:misc_RNA from 1 species